AUGGCGUUGAUGGGACUCCACACCCGACUAUUUGUUUCCGCUGUGACUUAUGAGGUGAUGAAUGAAGAAGGACUGAUAUUCUCUGGACCGAUGACUCAGCCGAAGGCAGAGCUAUGGAUUAAAAACAUGGAGGAUCACUUCGGAAAAAAAAUGAUUUCAAGGAAGUAUGAGGUUCAAGAUGCUAUUCAGUAUUUUACCGACAGUGCUGCAACCUGGUGGAAAAUGCAUCAAGCCAUACAAGGAUGCAACGGAGCAAAAACUUGGGAGGAAUUCAAGAAGACUCUGUUGAGAUCUCGUCUUAUUCAGAAGAACUAUGAUAACCCGGAGAAGAAACCUUGUGCCUGCAAGAUUUGCGGAGAAAUAGGACACACCCAGGAGGAACACAAGGAUGGAUGCCCUCAUUGUGCGGGUAAUCAUCCAGAUGAAGAAUGCCCCACUAGGCAGGUGACUUGCUUGUUGUGUGAAGGAACUACACACGACCCUGGUCAGUGUCAUAUUUACCCCAAGGUACAAGAAAUGAUAUAUCAGCUAAACAUUCUGGAUAUGCGUGUGUUCUUGCAAAUGUACUCAAAGCCUCAUCCUAUAUUUUGUCCGAACCAAAGUUCACUUCUGAUAGAGUACGUGUUCUGCCUAUACCUUUUCGGUUGCUACAUGAUUUUGUUUGGGUACUGA
rnacentral:rRNA from 1 species